AUGGCUCGUUGCUUCAUUAACAUCAAAGCUAUCUCUUCUCUUGUUGCUGAUGGUUUCUUCAAUUCUCUUUCUAGACGAGGAUACGCGGCGGCGGCAGCAACACAAAACGCGACGAGAGGAGUAGCAACCUCCGUGAGCGGCAAGAUGGUAGCACAGAAAUCAGGGACAGACAAGGUGGCAAAUAAAGAAAAGGUGUCGUGGGUUCCAGACCCUGUCACUGGUUACUACAAACCGGAGAACACCAACGUGGUUGAUGUUGCUGACCUACGAGCAACGGUUUUGGGGAAAAAGUAA